rnacentral:lncRNA from 10 species
UUAUUGAGAGAAAAGAGAAAAACAACAUUAUUGGCACCUGCUCUGGGCCAGGCACUGUGUUAAACAUUUUACAUGAGAGAUCGCAUCUCAUCUUCAAAAUGAGUCAGUGAGGCAGCUAUAAUUAUCCCUAUUUAUAAGUAGAAUAGAAAAAUACAGCAGAUACUUCUCAUGCUUUAUGUUUGUCUUUGAAGACCCUUCCAAUAUUAG